CAUUUAUUUGACAUAUUUUCUUUUAAAUAUAUAUUCAUAGUGCUUCAUCUUUUACACAUUUAUAUAUAUGACUGUGUAACCUUAAUCACUUCUGGGGAUGGGGACUUUUUACAGUAAAAGGUAGCAAUUUUAUUUUAUCCAAUAAAUGCAUUGAUAAUAUCCACAGAUUUUUAAAUAGUCAAUCAAAUGAACUUAAACUAUUAAAAUUGCAACAAACAUUUGUUUUGGCCCAAACUACAAAAACAAACAAAUUUAAAACUAGUUUAAACACACUGGUUUAAUCAUCUGUACAUGUCAUUAUAACUAUAUUGUAUAAAUAUUAUUUCAAAGACCUACAUCAUGCUAACAAUUAAAAGCUGAAUGACAUGACAUAACAGGCGAUUGCCCUCUGAGUGCACCUGAAAAGACAUUAAUGACACUUCUCAUAAAGCUUGAGAAGCAUACAGGACAAGUAGAACAAUUAGUUCAAAUAAAAACACAAAAGUCUGUAGAAUUUAAUGCAAACUCAAAAAAUGCAAUUAUGAACCAAUGAUAAUUAAUUUUCAACAAACUGCAGCUAAUGAACGUCUUUUGUUUAGGAGGAUGGGUUUUCACCACUGAAGCUUUAUUCAGAGGGGAUUUUGUUCUUGAGUACAAGUUUGGGUGCAUGGAUGCAUCGAAAGAAGAUGGGUCUUAAGGGAGACUUGUAAAUGAUGACCACAAAGCUCCUAACUGCAAAAUGAAAAUCAUAUCUUUGCUGUGUGCAACAUACUUCCAGGAGAAGAUAUAACCUACAAUUAUGGAGAUUCUGGUUAUGUCCCAUAAUGUUCCGUCUCCUCACCUGCUUUGGACAACGUGAAGAUGAGUGAUCCUCACAAACAAACUGAGCCACAACAGUCAGACAAAGCAAGAAGAUCAGGGAAUAAGACGGUAACCCUUUCAUUCAGGCACCAGGUAGCCUAUCUAGUGAUAUUUGCUGCUAAGUGAACAGGGCAGAGUAACCAGAACAAGGUAAGACAGACCCUUUGGCAGGUUUAUUUAAAAUGUAAUCUUGUUCUAACUAUAUAACAUCAUACAAUUGUGUCUUAAAGCAAUUUAUUUAAAGAUGAAAGGAUAGCUCAAUUAUGUAUUUUCACAUGCCAGAUAUUCUGGAGUUAAUUCAUACAGUAUGACCAAUAGUACACAUACAGAUUUUACUAUAAAAGAUUGGUUAAUUACUGGCAAGUGAUAGUUGGACUGCAUAGUUAAUCGUAAAAAGAUGGCGAUCUCGAUUCGAACCCCUGAACGUCGAUGCGUGAACGACAUUUAAAUGACCAUAUUGCAGUUUGGAGUUAUGUUUACUACAAGAUAGGGUUGUGCCGAUUGACACUAGUGUUGUGUAUCGAUGAUAGGGAGAGAUAUCACAGAGAGCUGAGGCCUGACUAUUUUAAAGAUGAUGUUUGGCUCAUUUCACAUUUAUGUAGACCUAUUACAUGUGUUAAAUUCAUUUUUAAAUAAAAGACUUAUUAUUAAUAUUA